rnacentral:lncRNA from 1 species
ACAGGUUUGGGGCAUCAUUUUCAGUUUAAUAAUAUGUUCUCAUAUUUGACAUGAUUUAGAAAAACAAAUGGAGGAUUUCAGUGUAUUUAAAUACCUCGGUCCUCUGGUAAAGCACAUCAUCUCUUAGGGCUUCAGAACUUUGGCCUCUGACUCCUGAGUCUUCUCUCUGCUAACAGGAAUCAGCCAAAUAUGAAGAUCUUUGUCUUUGCCUUUGUCAUGGCCCUCAUGAUUGCCAUGAUUGGAGCUGAUUCAUCUGAAGAGCCAUAUCCACCAGUUUAUCCUUACCCUCUAUAUCCACCAGUUUAUCCUUACCCUCAGCCAUAUCAACCAGUUUAUCCUUACAAUGCCCCAGAACAAUACCCUCCUUCUUCUUAGCCAUCAUUUUGAAUAUUAGUAACCCUAGGACAUGAUUAUGGCGGUAAGCUGGAACUAGUGACAUUUUAUUCUUCAGAUGUAUCAAUGGUGGUGUUAAAACUAGAGAAAACAAAAACAAGAUAUUAAAACAAAAGCAGGGAUGCCUGGGUGUCUCAGGGGUUGAGAGUCUGCCUUCUGCUCAGGGCAUAAUCGCAGGGUGGGGAUAGAAUCCACACUGGGCCCCUUGCAGGGAGCCUGCUUCUCCCUUGGCCUGUGUCUCUGCCUCUGAGUGUGUAUGUGUGAGUGUCUGUGUGUGUGUGUGUGUGUGUGUGUCUCAUGAAUAAAUAAAUAAAAUCUUAAAAAAAAAAAAAAAAGAAAGAAAGAAUGAAAGCAGCCCCAGUUUAGGAUUGGAGCCUGGUGUAGUUCUCCUAAAGUGUGGUUAUUUAUCUCAAUGUUUCCAAAGGAAAAUGUCCUGGUGUGAUGAAGGAGCAAGGAUUUGGGCUGGGAACACUUUUGUUUGUGUUCUGGUUCUGAGGAUUACUUUCGCAUGACCUUGAACUAUUCCUUCUUUUUUUUAAAACUUCUUUCUCAUGGACAAAACAGGCAUAUGAUGACACUUCAUUAAUUCAUAGAAUCUGUAGCUAUUAAAAGGUAUAUUACAUAAAAAACUUAGUUGGAAUUGCUGUAAUUUACAGCUGCAGCCUGCCCUGCCUCUAAAUCUGUGCCCAAUAUUAUUUAAAACUUUAUCUUCUAAAAAUGUAAUCUUUGGAGCCACUGCAUCAAUAAUAUCUGGGAAAUUGUCAGAAAUGUAGAGUCUAAAACCUCACCUUGACCUACACAACAUCAGAAUCUACAUUUUAAUAAGAUCUCUGUAUGGUCAUAACGCAAUAAACUUUGAAACUUCCUAGGGGAUUCCGACAAGCAAUGAGAAUGGGGACAGCUGCUCUAAUAUAAUACCAAUAAUAAGAAAUGGAAGUAUUUCCAAUUUGAUUUUAAAAUGUCAAUUUUACCUAAAACAAUAUUAGAUGUUCCAAAUUCUAUGCAAGUUUCAUUAUUUCACUGAAAACUAAAGCAGUUUUUUUGGAACUAAAAGAAGACUGUCUUGCAAUUCAGAGAUGAAACUGUUCUAGAGGAUUCCAUUAUUUUUAAUUGCACAUGGAGAAUUCAUUCACCUUGAAUUCCCUGUUGCCAUUAAUGACAGAACAAAGAAUCUAAACUUGAUUCCAUAAGCAUUAUGUAUCGCUGAGUAUAUUAGAGCAAGGAGGAGGAAUAUACUAAAACUAUUAUUUGGCAAAAAUUAAUUUGGAUGAAAUGAAUAGAGUAUAGUUGAGCAGAGAAGUGGUGGAACUGAUGUCUUG